rnacentral:rRNA from 1 species
GGGUUUAUUAAUUAAAAAUUAAAGUUUUAAUUUUCUCGAAUUUAAAAGAGCUAUGAUUGUAUAUUUUUUAUUGUAAAAUAAAUAUUAUUAAUAUAAUUAUAGAAAUGAAACGUUAUUCGUUUUUAAAUAUAUCUAGUUUUUUAAGAAAAAAAUUUAAUUUUAUUUUUAUUUAUUAUUAAAUUUAAUUUUUAAUUUAAUAAUUAAUAAAAUUUUAUAUUUAAAGGGAUGAGCUUUUAAAUAAAUUUAUUUAAUUUUAAAUUUAAAGAUUUUAGUAAAUAGGAUUAUAAGUUUCUAUUUUUAGUAGUGUUUUAUAACUAGUUAAAUAUGAUAAUAAAAUUUUUAUUUAAAUUUAAUGUUUUUUAUUAAAAUAUAAAUUUUAAUUUAUUAAGUUUAGCAAUAAUGAUAAAAUUAGUAUAAUAUUUUAUUUAUUUUUUUUAAAAUUUUUAGGUUAAAUAAAGGAAUUCGGCAAAUUUGUUUUUCACCUGUUUAAUAAAAACAUGGCCUUUUGACUUUAAUUUAAGGUCUGACCUGCCCAAUGAGUUUUUAAAUGGCCGCGGUAUUUUGACCGUGC